UAAAUGCCUCUGUACUGUUAGG
rnacentral:piRNA from 1 species